UGAGGAAUAUUGGUCAAUGGACGCAAGUCUGAACCAGCCAUGCCGCGUGAAGGAUGAAGGCCCUCCGGGUUGUAAACUUCUUUUACCGGGGAAGAAAACUAUGGUUUCUACUAUAGCCGACGGUACCCGAGGAAUAAGCACCGGCUAACUCCGUGCCAGCAGCCGCGGUAAUACGGAGGGUGCAAGCGUUAUCCGGAUUUACUGGGUUUAAAGGGUGUGUAGGCGGACAAUUAAGUCAGCGGUGAAAUCUCCGGGCUCAACCCGGAAACUGCCAUUGAUACUAUUUGUCUUGAAUAUCGUUGAGGUAGGCGGAAUAUGUCAUGUAGCGGUGAAAUGCUUAGAUAUGACAUAGAACACCGAUUGCGAAGGCAGCUUGCUAAACGAUGAUUGACGCUGAGGCACGAAAGCGUGGGGAUCAAACAGG
rnacentral:rRNA from 1 species